AUCCAGUUGACGAGUCCCAAAUAGAACGAGACUCGCGUCCUGGAU
rfam:Schistosoma mansoni strain Puerto Rico chromosome 1, complete genome